rnacentral:rRNA from 1 species
GUCGAGCGAGAAGGCUUUCUUCGGAAAGUGAUUAAAGCGGCGAACUGGUGAGUAACAGGUGGGUCACGUGCCCUGAAGUUUGGAAUAACCCCGGGAAACCGGAGCUAAUACCAAAUGUGGUUCUUCGGAACUAAAGACUUCGGUCGCUUCAGGAUCGGCCCGUCCCCGAUUAGUUAGUUGGUGAGGUAACGGCUUACCAAGACGACGAUCGGUAGCUGGUCUGAGAGGAUGGUCAGCCACACUGGGACUGAGACACGGCCCAGACAGCUACGGUUGGCAGCAGUGGGGAAUAUUGCGCAAUGGGCGAAAGCCUGACGCAGCCAUGCCGCGUGUGUGAAGAAGGCCCUAGGGUUGUAAAGCACUUUCAGCAGGGAAAAUAAUGACGGUACCUGCAGAAGAAGAUCCGGCUAACUCCGUGCCAGCAGCCGCGGUAAUACGGAGGGAUCGAACGUUAAUCGGAAUUACUGGGCGUAAAGCGCGCGUAGGUGGCUUGCCAAGUGAGAUGUGAAAGCCCCGGGCUCAACCUGGGAAUUGCAUUUCAAACUGGCAGGCUGGAGUAUAGUAGAGGGGAGUAGAAUUCAGAGUGUAGGGGUGAAAUCCGUAGAUAUUCUGAGGAAUACCAAUGGCGAAGGCAGCUCUCUGGACUAAUACUGACACUGUAGCGCGAAAGCGUGGGGAGCAAACAGGAUUAGAUACCCUGGUAGUCCACGCCGUAAACGAUGCCAACUAGCCGUUGGGAGGCUUGACCUUUUAGUGGCGAAGCUAACGCGAUAAGUUGACCGCCUGGGGAGUACGGCCGCAAGGUUAAAACUCAAAUGAAUUGACGGGGGCCCGCACAAGCGGUGGAGCAUGUUGUUUAAUUCGAUGCAACGCGAANAACCUUACCACCCCUUGACAUCCUGCGAAC